GCAGUGGUGGUUCAGUGGUAGAGUUCUCACCUUCCUUGCAGGAGACCUGGGUUUGACUCCCAGCCAACGCA
rnacentral:tRNA from 1 species